AAGAUAAUGACGGUACCCGCAGAAGAAGCCCCGGCUAACUCCGUGCCAGCAGCCGCGGUAAUACGGAGGGUGCAAGCGUUGUCCGGAUUUAUUGGGUUUAAAGGGUGCGUAGGUGGGCCUUUAAGUCAGUGGUGAAAGCCUGCAGCUUAACUGUAGAAUUGCCAUUGAUACUGGAGGUCUUGAGUAUAGAUAAGGUAGGCGGAAUUGAUGAUGUAGCGGUGAAAUGCAUAGAUAUCAUCAGGAACUCCGAUUGCGAAGGCAGCUUACUGGUCUAUAACUGACGCUGAGGCACGAAAGCGUGGGGAGCGAACAGGAUUAGAUACCCUGGUAGUCCACGCCGUAAAC
rnacentral:rRNA from 1 species